GUACAAAAGGCGGGUUGCCAGGUGUUAGAAUCCCUAGUUACCCGAUGUAAUUCGAUUGGAUCCGAUACUUAGAAAAAACCAAUCAGAAACUUUGUAACAAAUGCAACACAAUCAGUAAGUGUAACGUUUCAAGAUGGCGGGGCGAAUUGCAUGGUUAUCGUUUCUAAACUUUCUUCUCGAUGGAUUCGCAGAUAAUUCGAAAAUAGAUGAGAUUGGGAUCAAUAGCUUUAUUGCAUACGAUCAUUUACAUGUAUAGCCAGGUGUGUGUUGCCAGUAAUGGAUGAAGAUAUGCCAAACAAAUUGUGCCACUCUAUACAGACAGAUUUCAGGUCUCAAUUGCGACUUCAAAGGUCAACCUAUCACUGAUAUCAGAUUUGUCAGCUAUUGGAAUUCUGUGAAACUGUGGCACCAUGUAUGGAACUUGCGCGCACAAUGUCUGUUGGCAAAAGGAUAUUGGAAUUAGCAAAGGGACUCAACAUAACACAGUCAUUUCAACAUUUAGUCUUGUCAGCAGUGAUGGAGCAGUACUUCAGAUUUCCAGAAUCUCGUUAUGAGCUGAAGAUCAUUGCCGAUGGAUCUCAUCAACGAUGUGGACUGCUUGGUGUUGUAGGGGCUGUUGAUGGAACCCACAGUGCAUGUCCUGCUCCAACAUCCGAGCAUAGGUCCUUGUUUAUCAGCAGGUUAGUUCUUCAAGCAGUCUGUGACAGUCACUUGAAAUGUUUGGACAUAUGCCCUGGAUGGCCAAGUUCUGUGCAUGAUGCCCAUGUAUAUAGGAACAGCCCAUUGGCGCAUUAAAUGGAAAAUCGUCCGCAUGAUUACCAUGUCUUCGAGGAUUCAGUAUACCGCCUGACAAGAAAUCGUCUUGUUCCGUAUGGAGGCCAUGGACAUUUGUAUCAUUUGCAAAAGAUACUGCGAUAUGUAUGCCUGUGUUCAUGCUUAAUAGUUGAUUAACAAUUGGAAGCCAUUACCUGUUUUGUAGGAUGAUGUUGGUGAGACAAUGGAUUUUGUGAAGGUAAAAAGACUGGAAAAGAUAAUUUCAAGUCAAAGAGUUAUGCUAUUGUUAAGCAUGCUUGAAUGAUUUGUAAUAUUUGAAAGAUAGCAUUAUUAACAGAAUACAAUGUCCAUAAAUUGAAUAUUCUACUGUUUUCAGCAACAUUUAAUUUGUUAAAGUACAACAUGCUCUAUUGUGUUUUAUCGUGAUCUGUUUCGUGAACAAUGACAUUUCAAUGUAUAUUUGAUAAUUUGUCAAUGGGUGUUACACGCAUUAGCCCUACCAUUAGCUCAAAAAGUAAUUGCUUAGUAAGUUUGCCACCUAGAGAAAAAUACUUCUCAGUAACAGUUGCAUUAGGGAAAGUCUAAGGCUAGUAAAAUUUAGAUUCCUUUGGGUUACCCAAGGUUACCAAUUUAUUUUUAAUGAAUUUGCAAUAAAAAGCUUUGACAGAAUUUUCCAACAAGU